rnacentral:rRNA from 1 species
UUUAAUUCCGGUUGAUCCUGCCGGACCCGACUGCUAUUUGGGUGAGGAUAAGCCAUGCAAGUCGAAUGGGAUACCUAAAUUUCCCAUGGCGAACUGCUCAGUAACACAUGAUCAACUUGCCCUAUAGAGAGAAAUAACCUCGGGAAACUGAGGAUAAUUUUUCAUAGUUGAAUUGGCUUGGAAAAGUUUUUCAAUAAAAAGGAUAAAGAGAAUGGUCUUUAUUCGCUAUAGGAUAGGAUCGUGUUCGAUUAUGGUAGUUGGUGAGGUAAAGGCUCACCAAGCCGAUAAUCGAUAGGGGCCGUGAGAGCGGGAGCCCCGAGAUGGGUACUGAGACAACGACCCAGGCCUUACGAGGCGCAGCAGGCGCGAAACCUCCACAAGACACGAAAGUGUGAUGGGGUUACCCAAAGUGUUCAUUAUUGAACUGUGGUAGGUGAGUAAUGUUCCCUACUAGAAAGGAGAGGGCAAGGCUGGUGCCAGCCGCCGCGGUAAAACCAGCUCUUCAAGUGGUCGGGAUAAUUAUUGGGCUUAAAGUGUCCGUAGCCGGUUUAGUAAGUUCCUGGUAAAAUCGGGUAGCUUAACUAUCUGCAUGCUAGGAAUACUGCUAUACUAGAGGGCGGGAGAAGUCUGAGGUACUACAGGGGUAGGGGUGAAAUCUUAUAAUCCUUGUAGGACCACCAGUGGCGAAGGCGUCAGACUGGAACGCGCCUGACGGUGAGGGACGAAAGCCAGGGGAGCGAACCGGAUUAGAUACCCGGGUAGUCCUGG